AGCUUCCUGAGUCCGUGCCGUGAUUUCAUCUUACAUCAACCCAUCUAGGCUGAUGAGACUUACAAUAUAAGUGAAGCG
rfam:Schistosoma mansoni strain Puerto Rico chromosome 1, complete genome